GGCGUCACGUUGAUGUGUGAUUCAUGGACUGGUCCGACGAGGAUGAGUGUCAUCAACUUUUUGAUAUAUUGCAAUGGGGUCAUGUGGUUCCAUAAGUCUAUUGAUGCGACCGGAAGAACUCAAGAUGCUGCAUAUUUGUUCAAGGAGAUUCAAAAGGUGGUGGAAGAGAUUGGACCGGAGAAUGUCGUGCACGUAGUCACCGACAACG